GGCAGUGUUUUCUGUAUUUCUGUUUCUCAUCUGCUUUGUUUUAUAAGGUUGUUAAAAAAAAAAAGUUGGAUAAAAGACAGAAAAGCACUUUCUUACACUCAUGAAAUCCCCUAAUAAUGUGCUUUGGUACACAUUCUCCAAGCCUGCUCUUUGUCUAAAUCUGUAUUGCCAAGUCCUGCUAAAGAAAAUUAUAGAACCACUGAGAUGAGUAUGAUUAAAACUACAGUCAGUCUCUUAUGAAUUCUUCUACUGCUUGCUCUGUAACUGAUGCUACUUAUUCUUUCAUUUAACAAAUGUUUGUUCAGUAUCCACCAUGUAGCUGGCACCGUUCUCAGCACUGGGCAUACAACAAUCAUCAAGGCAAAUUUGGCCCCUUCCCUUAUAGAGUUUACAGUCUAGUGUAACUGAGAAACUGAAUGUGAACAAGGACCUGAUGAGUGAGACCCAACAUGAACCAAGACCAGGUUUGAAUCACACACUUCCAUCCCACUCCAUGAUUUUGCCAGAAAUAAUUAAUUCAAAUUCCUCUGUAGUAAGGACUUACACAUCUCUAAAGCAAGCCAGAUAUCUGUUUAAAGAAGCUCUGGCCACCUUUCAUCCAUCUGCCUCCU
rnacentral:lncRNA from 1 species